rnacentral:rRNA from 1 species
GACGAACGCUGGCGGCGUGCUUAACACAUGCAAGUCGAACGGAAAGGCCCUGCUUUUGUGGGGUGCUCGAGUGGCGAACGGGUGAGUAACACGUGAGUAACCUGCCCUUGACUUUGGGAUAACUUCAGGAAACUGGGGCUAAUACCGGAUAGGAGCUCCUGCUGCAUGGUGGGGGUUGGAAAGUUUCGGCGGUUGGGGAUGGACUCGCGGCUUAUCAGCUUGUUGGUGGGGUAGUGGCUUACCAAGGCUUUGACGGGUAGCCGGCCUGAGAGGGUGACCGGCCACAUUGGGACUGAGAGACGGCACAGACUCCUACGGGAGGCAGCAGUGGGGAAUAUUGCACAAUGGGCGGAAGCCUGAUGCAGCAACGCCGCGUGCGGGAUGACGGCCUUCGGGUUGUAAACCGCUUUCGCCUGUGACGAAGCGUGAGUGACGGUAAUGGGUAAAGAAGCACCGGCUAACUACGUG